rnacentral:rRNA from 1 species
UACGUAGGGUGCGAGCGUUGUCCGGAAUUAUUGGGCGUAAAGGGCUCGUAGGCGGUUUGUCACGUCGGGAGUGAAAACUCGGGGCUUAACCCCGAGCCUGCUUCCGAUACGGGCAGACUAGAGGUAUGCAGGGGAGAACGGAAUUCCUGGUGUAGCGGUGAAAUGCGUAGAGAUCGGCAGGAACACCCAGGGGGAAACCAGUCGACUGGGCAUCUACUGACGCUGAGGUGCGAGAGCGUGGGGAGCGAACCGG